AUGCCACAUUCCUAAUAUGGUAUC
rnacentral:siRNA from 1 species